rnacentral:sRNA from 1 species
GGUUCAAAUCCAAUAGUAGGUAA